AGUGAACGCUGGCGGUGGGCCUAACACAUGCAAGUCGAACGGCAGCACAGUAAGAGCUUGCUCUUACGGGUGGCGAGUGGCGGACGGGUGAGGAAUACAUCGGAAUCUACUUUUUCGUGGGGGAUAACGUAGGGAAACUUACGCUAAUACCGCAUACGACCUACGGGUGAAAGCAGGGGAUCUUCGGACCUUGCGCGAUUGAAUGAGCCGAUGUCGGAUUAGCUAGUUGGCGGGGUAAAGGCCCACCAAGGCGACGACCCGUAGCUGGUCUGAGAGGAUGAUCAGCCACACUGGAACUGAGACACGGUCCAGACUCCUACGGGAGGCAGCAGUGGGGAAUAUUGGACAAUGGGCGCAAGCCUGAUCCAGCCAUACCGCGUGGGUGAAGAAGGCCUUCGGGUUGUAAAGCCCUUUUGUUGGGAAAGAAAAGCAGCAGGUUAAUACCCCGCUGUUCUGACGGUACCCAAAGAAUAAGCACCGGCUAACUUCGUG
rnacentral:rRNA from 1 species